UACGAAGGGGGCGAGCGUUGUUCGGAAUUACUGGGCGUAAAGGGCGCGUAGGCGGCCGAUCAAGUCAGAUGUGAAAGUCCUGGGCUUAACCUGGGGACUGCAUUUGAUACUGAUUGGCUUGAAUUCGGGAGAGGAUAGCGGAAUUCCCAGUGUAGAGGUGAAAUUCGUAGAUAUUGGGAAGAACACCGGUGGCGAAGGCGGCUAUCUGGACCGACAUUGACGCUGAUGUGCGAAAGCGUGGGGAGCAAACAGG
rnacentral:rRNA from 1 species